AGCAGCCGCGGUAAUUCCAGCUCCAAUAGCGUAUAUUAAAGUUGUUGCAGUUAAAAAGCUCGUAGUUGAAUUUCGGAAUCUGUCCAUCGGUCGGGCUUAACUGUCCGUACUGAUGUGAUGGGUUCUUACCUUCUGAAUAACCAGUAUGCUAUUAAUUUAGUGUGUUGGGGAAGCAGGACUAUUACCUUGAAAAAUUAGAGUGCUCAAAGCAGGCUAGUGCCUGAAUACAUUAGCAUGGAAUAAUAAAAUAGGACGGCAUGGUUCUAUUUUGUUGGUUUCUAGGAUCACCGUAAUGAUUAAUAGGGAUAGUUGGGGGCAUUAGUAUUCAAUUGUCAGAGGUGAAAUUCUUGGAUUUAUUGAAGACUAACUUCUGCGAAAGCAUUUGCCAAGGAUGUUUUCAUUAAUCAAGAACGAAAGUUAGGGGAUCGAAGACGAUCAGAUACCGUCGUAGUCUUAACCAUAAACUAUGCCGACUAGGGAUCGGACGAUGUUAAUUUAUAAUGACUCGUUCGGCG
rnacentral:rRNA from 1 species